GGUUGUUUGAACCUGACAUUUAUUUGGUCCUUCGAGAGCCGGAUCCCAAUUACGCCUGAGGAUCCCAGCGGGUUGGUGGACUCCAGUAAAGACCGUGCGCAUGGCAGGCUUCAUCAGGGAGACUCACAAACCCUUUCCGGAACUGGAUCUCGGCCCGCCCGCUGGGGUCUGACGGCUGACGGAACUCUGAGAGAGAGGAGAGGACAAAGUGAACAGAGACCGAAGGCUCAAAUUAUUGCUGAUAGAGACUUUUCACCAGGGAGCAGUGUGACCCUCACCUGCUCUGUUAAACCAUCACAUUGUUGGAAUUACUACUGGUACAGAGAUGAAAACACCUCCAAACCCCUGGACUAAAUUCCCCUUCAAACGGAGAAAUCAUUAUAUCAGAGAAUGGGAUAUAUUUCUGCAGAGGAGGAAGAGGACAUCCCGUUUACUACACAGAGUACAGUCAUUCUGUUACUAUUGAUAUAACUGACACAAACAUGUCUGCUGUGACUCAGCAACCCAUCUGGCCAGAGAUAUACUAUGGGGAGAAGAUCACUCUGAUAUGUGAGAUCCAGGGACACCAGACAGAUUGGGUUUUUGAAUGGAUGAGAACAAGCAGGGAUGAACCAUGGAUCCAAAAUGAAAUGAACAUUACUUUACUUCUUUUCAUUUCAAGAGGAGUACUUCUGGUGUAAAGGCAGGAGGAAGAGUGUUCCACAUAUUGUCACUUCAUGGAGUGCCCCCUUUAAAAGCAAACGUGUUAACUGGCAGCCUGUUCCUGUCCUGAGUGUAUCUCCAUCAUGGCUGAGUCCUGGAGCCUCAGUAACUCUGAAGUGUGUGGUUCAACCUCCAUCUACAGGUUGGAGGUUCUACUGGUAUAAAGCUGUUCCUG